rnacentral:lncRNA from 1 species
AUGCGGGACCGGUGGAUGACUAUCCCGGUGGGCUCGUUGGGGUCGUCGCGCCCCGAGGCGGUCACCAUGUUCUUCUGGUUGGGGUUGGGGCGGCGUACCUGGAUGUCACAGUCCUGGAGCACGGCGGCGGCGUUACCGAAGAUGAAGUCGACGGUACCCUGAAUGAGGCAGCCGCGGAAGAACUGGCGGAGGGAGUGGAGGUAGAGCGUGUCCUGGUAUCCGAGGAUGUCGCAGUCGUAGAAGGCGGAGAGGUCGGCGCCGACGCGGAGAGCCACCGCCUGGUGCUUCGACGGGCCGGCCGUGUUCUCGAUCCGUAGCCCUCGCGCCAAGAAGCCUUCCCCCACCACAGCUGCAAAUAUCGUCACGCAUGCAUGUCAAAUUAUAGCCAGAGAAGACAUGCACAACGCAAGAAGAAGACUCCAAUGAGCUGAACAGCUCCCGAACACAGUGACAUCGAUUCGGUCCCUUAAGAGUGUGAUCCGCUUGAGUUCAACUUUCAUCAAUGAAGACGACAGAUUGAGACGACAGCUUGCUAUCCGUAAGACCUUUGAUGGUGUGUCACAUGCAGCUCAGUCCCACCCGAAGACAAAUUGACAGCAACUUUGUUGACCAAUCGUAAGCUGCGCAUCAAAGCUGCUUCUACUUUACGAAAGGCUGUGGCCUACAGCUAUAGCUUCAGUGGCUCUCAUCUUUGAUGCUGUACUGACAGAGCCAAUCGAUAGAUUGCAAAUCCAGCGCUUAAGUCGUCCUCUCUCUCUCUCUCUCUCUCCGCAUAUAUAUAUAUAUAUAUUGUGGAGGUGUUCUUUACACCCUAUUUCCUGCUCAAAUUCCGGCAAUUAAAG